rnacentral:lncRNA from 10 species
UGGGACUUGGCCUGGCAUAGAGGCGAGGACACCUCCUCAUCUUGCAAUAUCCUUUUGGAUUUCCUCUGACAGACUGUAAAUACUCAGCCAACAAUUAAAUUCAGAAAGUAAUUAUUUUUGAAUAUAAAUGUAAUUACUAGGAAGUUAUGAAAAUGCAUCUGAUCUGCUGGAUAUGAUGAGUCAGUAGGUUGGGGAGAGCUGUGUCUUCUGAAGUUUUAUGUACUUUAGUCACUGCUCCUCCUUUUCUGCAGAGGUGAAGUCUAUAACCCCAGCUGGCAUUCUGCUAAGGCAGGGUUUCUCAGGCAGGAGUGGGAACAAGCCUGAAAAUCUCCAUCUCCCCAGAGGGGCAGAGUAGAAGUUUGGAAAAGGCUUCCAGAUGACUUUGAUAUGCACAUAUCCCUUUUCUAGAAUUGAGAACCACGGCCUCAAGGACCUCUCUGCGCUUUGGGGAAACAGACCUGAUUUGGUCCUCCUGGGUUCCUGAAAAGAAGUCCUCUUUACAGCCCCAGAUGAGGAAAUGGUGGCUUGAAGGAGUUAAGCAGCUUGUUCAAACUGACUCCAUAAGGGGAGCCGAAAUCCAGACGCCUGCUCUCCCAGCUCCAGCACCAGCACGGUCAGCACCACCCCUUCCUGCUCUCAGCAAUCCUGAGAAGACAAUUAGCUGUCCCGUGAAGCCCUUGCCUGCCACCAGCGCCAUCUGAAUCAUGCUUUGCCUGAGGCUGUCCCAUCCGAACAAAACAGGAACAUAAAUAUUCAUGACAGGAUAAAAGGAGCAGGCCAGGCUGUUUAAAAUCAUGCGUGCAGAGCACACUUUGCAAAGGCAAUUCAGCUCGCGAGCCUCUGUGCCACGCUGAUGAAGUUCUGAUGCUUGGCGGACCUAUGGCAUUCCGUGGUCAUCUGAUUUCCAAGAGGGAAGCUGAUCCCUCGCCAUUGUUCCACGUGCUGUCAUGUCCCGAAGCUGGAGUUUCACCCAGAGACAGGCCAACAGACACUUCUGACCAUAGACAAUGCAUCUGCAGCCUUCUCUUCAGAACAAAACCACCAGCUUCCCUGACCUAGGUUAUCCAAAGGGCUCUUUCUCCACUUUGAAAGAGUCUAUGUCUCCUCCAGGCAUCUCACCGCCUGCCGUCAAGGCGCCAGCGCCAGCGCCAGAGUCAAGGCACUCUGGUGCAACCAGCCUCCCUGGUGCUCUUUGCUUCCCGUUCACAAAGCAUAAAACACACAUGGAACAGCCCAUUCUGUGGGCUCUUCCUUCUCGUACGUAACACAGGUGCAUUGAACAUCCACAUGUGUUAUAAAGCAGGAUUCAGAAACCUGAGUCUCUGUUGCCACAAGCCUCCACUUCUCAGCCUUGUAAAUGUGGAUGAGAUGUUUCCAUUGCUGAGAGUCAGUUUCCCUCUCCAUAAAAUGAGCGGUUAUAGUCAUAUCUGUGAGAGCAUUUUAAAAACUCUAAAGGCCCCUACAUGUAGGUAAGCAAAAAUUAUAUUAAAUCCACAAAGGGUCAGUAGCUCCAAUUGCAGCAGCACUCACCAGUCAAGGAGGCUGUAAGCAAACCAAAUCAGAUUGGGGUAAAGUCCCAGAACCCCUGGGCCAGCCUUCCAGGUCCCUGGAGGAGGCAGCAAGACAGAGGAGUAGGGUCGCUGCUAGGUACCCCAUGUUGCAGGCUCUCCUGUAGCAUGCAUUGCAUCCCUUCUGCAGAUGAUUUCAAUGCUGGUGCACACAAUGUUUUUAAAACUGCAACCACUACCUCUUUGUGACCAGAUUCUACAGCAUAGCUGACUCUUUCUGACUGAAAACACAAAGUUGAAGGAGUUAUAAAAUCUAGGCCGGGCGCGGUGGCUCAUGCCUGUAAUCCCAGCAUUUUAGGAGGCCGAGGUGGGUGGAUCACCUGAGGUCAGGAGUUUGAAUCUAGCCUGGGCAACACGGCGAAACCCUCUCUCUACUAAAAAUACAAAAAUUAGCGGGUUGUGAUGGCAGGCACCUGUAAUCCCAGCUACUAGGGAGACUGAGGCAGGAGAAUUGCUUGAAACCAGGAGGCAGAGGUUGCAGUGAGCCGAGAUUGCGCCACUGCACUCCAGCCUGGGUGGCAGAACGAGACACUAUCUAAAAAAAAAAAAAAAAAAAGAAGAAGUCUGAUAUGCAAUGAACACGUGAUGUUUAAGAGGACAUGCAUGUUUGCUCCUUGUCUACCAAGAGUAUUCGGUUAGUCAUUACACAUGUAUGAUUUUAAUGAUUUUAUCUCAAGAAAUGAAGCAGUAAUGAAAAGGACAUUUAUCUUUUCUUUAGAGUCUUCUUUCCUCUCCAGGCUCUGGAAGCCCCACAGUCAACCUGCGUAGUCUACCUGUGCUACACACCCUCUGCAACCCAGCACUGCCAUAUCAAAAAUAAACAUUCCGGCUUCCACAAAACGGCUUUGCCCUGCUGAGCGGACCUGAUGGGGCAUUUUCAACAUGCUUAUCAAGGUAUCAAGAUUGGACGGCUGGGACGAGGCCAGAUAAUGACAGAACUUUCCCUCAGAAAAUGUCUUAAAUGUCAUGGAGCGGUUAUUGAAGGCCGUGAUGGGUUGGAUUAAUAUGGACUUGUUUGCACUUGGAAGGAUUACUGAGGCAGUGUGUAAAUGAUGGGUUUACGGGAAUGAAAACAUCAGAAAGAUCUGUUAGGAAGCUACUUAAAUAACCCAGCACAGGAGAGAUGACAGUUUAAACCAAGAGAAGUCGGCUGGAGAUGGAAGAGUAGAUUUGAUGGCUACUUAGGGAAAAGCAAUUGAUGGGACCUGCAGCUUGGUUAGAUGUUGAGGGGAAAGAAGAGAGAAACCUCUGAGGCUUCUGCAUUAGGUAAAUGGGGGAAGGCGGUGAGGUUAUCCAUAAGAGGGAAAAUGCAUGGAAAGCCAGUUUAUGGAGCAGGAGGACGUGUUCCGUUUUGACAUGCUUGACUCGAAGUGUUUUGGAGACACCCAAGAAGGGGACCCAGUGAGCGUUAGGGGAGGGUCUGUCAUGCCCAGAAGAGAGUUAUUAGCUCUCAGGUGGCAGCAGAAGCCAGGGGGUUGAACCAAAUCACACAGAAAGAUUGGAUGCUGUGAGAAAAUAAGGCCACAGAUGAAGUCAUAAUGAAUCCCAACAUUUUAUGACAUGGACCCAGGAACAGAAGACCGCAAAGUGGGCUGGGAUCUGUGAGCCCAGAAAAGCAACGUUCCACCAAAGUCAAGGGAGGCUGGAAUGUCAAAUUGGAGGUGUCUAGGAGUGUCAAAUAUUGCAGAAGGUGUUAAAAAGGACCGAAAAGUGUCUGCUGAGAUUUGCUAUCCAGAAGGUAAUUAAAACUUGAUGACAGUACUUCCAGUUGAGAAUUAAUUGCCUCCAAGUGUUAUUCACAAAGAUUCUGUGAGGCUGGAUGGGCGGUGGCCAUUCGUAAGGCUCAUCUUUUAAAGAAGUUUAACAUUGAAAUUCUACAUAUCUCUGUUUCAUAGAAAUAUGUAUAUAUGUAUAAAAUCUCUAGUAACAUCUUCGUUUUCUAGCCAAGUUAUGUUUCAGUUCAAUAUUAUUAAGAUGUUAUUUGUUUUUUACUUCCCUCCAAAUUGAAGUGUGGUUAAAAUUGGUGUGACGCAUGUCAAGCUAGUGCCGAUCACGUUUAGGAAUUAGGCUCAGCUCUAAAUGAGUAAUGCUAAUGUUUGUUGAAAUCUUGAAGCCCUGACUUUCUGUUCAGAAGAAGAGCAGUGAACUCCAUCUCCUCUUUAACUGUUUGGGCCACUGCUAGGGCCCUGCAGCCAGCAAUCCCACAGUCUCUCCUGCUGGAUUAAGUGGCGAUGCCUGACACGGCCUGGUAUUUGGGGUGGGGAGGUAGGAAAUAAUAAGGAGUGAUUUCAUUUGUUUCUACAAAUUACAGCUGGUGUGCUGAGUCCUUCCUUGGGGCCUUGUGUCAAGGGCUCGGGACCCUGCUGGGGCAGGGGAGGCAGCUCCUGCUCAAUUGCUAUCAGUGAUGAGUGUGACAUGUGCAAUGUACAAGUCCCCUAAAUGUUUACAUGCCAUGAUGAGGCAUUUAAAUAGGUAAAAAAUUAAAAUCUAUACUUUUUCUGUCUUUAAAGCACAGCUCAAAAUGGCCUCUGCAGAAUAAAUGGAAUGAGCUAGGUGUGGAACUCCAGGCACAGCGGUCAAUUAAGGGCUGUUCAUUAACAUUUCAAGCACUGCAGAUAGGUGGGUCUUAGCAGCUGGAGUUAAGUAGUGUGUUCUGAUAGAUAUUCCUAUUGUGAAUUCUUCAUUGGUUACUAUAAUCUUUACGGAAGCCUAAACCACUUCUCAAAUAACUUCACCUUACAUUGUUCCAAAAAGAAAGAAAAGCUAUCUAUUCGAAGCUAGUUUAAAGAACAAUUAUUUGCCUGUGACCUGCCCUGGGAGUGUGCCUCUAUGCUCAGCUCACGUGCAUUUGCAGACACAUGCCCACAGGCUGCCAGGAUCUGAAAUCCACAAAUGGGUCCUUAAGUCAUAACUGACGACAAAUGUGUAACCAGAUUAAAAUCUCGCGACAUUUCUUAAACUGCUUUUACUGUAGCUCUGGAAACGUUGGUUUCAAAAAUCAGUCGUGUCACUGUCACUCUUGGAAUUCGAGAGCCCAGAGUCUAAAAGCCAGAAAGGUUGUUCAGAGCUUGGUCUCUGGCCUCUAGAGCUUUCCCAACAUGGGAUGGGCACACGCCUCAGGCACAGAUGACUUCACUCCCCAAAGACUGAACCAGAGAACUCCAAGGUUCAACUGAUCAUCUGCCUUAUUUUAUCCAUUAGUCUACUUUCAUUUGUUAGAAGAGACACAGUUUCUUUUUAUCUCUGUCUUCUCCUGACUAAUUCUAUUAGAUCAGCCCUCAAAUACAUCAUGUGAUUUGUACAGGGAUAUCAUUUUUAUUCUUUUUUUUUUCGGUCCCCUUUCACGUACCUCUAAUCAUUUUUAUCCUUGAAUGGCAUAAGUCAAACUUUUG